rnacentral:lncRNA from 1 species
GUUUAAGUUCCUGGGCCAGGGGUUGAACCAGAGCCAUAGCAGCAACCCAAGCUGCUGCAGUGAUAAGGCCAGGUCCUUAACCCACUGCACCAUAAGAGAACUCCAAACUUUAAAUUUAAAUAUAGUUAAAAGACUAAAUUAUAUAUAUUUUACCACAAAAACUUGUUAUUUUAAAUUAUAGUCAAGUAUAUGACUAUCUUGUUGAUUACUGCAUUUGUGUGUCACUAAUAUUAUUUCUACUUAUAUGUAUGUAUACUUGAAAACAUGCAUUUUUUUCAGUGUAAGAUUUAAGUACAUUAAGUUUGGGCCCAAGAUAAAUUUACCUAAAGAAUUAAACCGGGUAGUAUAACUACAUGAGUUUUACCUAGUUUUUAUACAUGUUUUUAUACGUUUUAUACAUGAAUGCAGAAGAAACAUACUGUGAUGUUUACACAUAUAUAAAUCCCCUAUAUAUAACUCUUAGAUACUGAAACAGUUCCUCAGUGUUUUCCAUAGAGCCGAAUGCUGUACUGCAGACAGAAAAACAGAGUUUGGAGUAGAUUUUAUACUUGCUGUUUUUGGCACAUUUUAGUUUUAUACUCUUUUAGGAUAUGAACUUAUCUUUUAGCUUAAAAAGAUAUUGAUGACUAUGGGUCAAAAUCUUUUAGGAAAGAAGAUUAUUGAGCAAAUGAAACAAGUAAAGGAAGAAAGAAGAUAUCUGGAAAGAAUUGGAGAAGAACUAAUAAAAAAAGUUGAAAGGCUAUUUGAACAAAGCAAAUUAAAACAAUAUCAUGAAUUACCUUAUCAUCCAGAUUACUGAGGUACAGCAUGCUAUUGACCAACUUAAGAGAAAACUGGCUACUGACAAAAUGAGACUUAUAAUAGAAAUUAAGGUACUUUGCGUUUCCCCUAAUAAGAUUAUAACAUUUAUCUUGAAAUAAAAUAUUUUGGUGUAUUAACUUUGGGUGUAAAUACCACAAAAGCAGGAAGGACUAUCUGUCUUAAAUUAUCACCUUAACAAAAAAAGAACAUGCAUGGAAAAGGAAAAGAAUAAUAAUGAAAUCCUAUGAAAAGAUUCAUAACAAGGCCAAAGUAAAAUUUAGUAAAAUGUUACUAAGAAAUAAAGGAAAAGGACCUGUGAAUCAGCCUAGUCGCCAUAUUUUUAAAUGAGUAAUUUUCAUAUAUUAGAGUCAUUCAUAAAUAAGUCUGAGAAACCACUGAGCUCUCUGAGCUCCCAUUUGAUUUUAAUUUUUCCCCCCUCUUGAAUAUUUAUUUCUGAUUAUUUUCAUAUAUAUAUUAUAUGAAUGCUCUCGAUUCACCUCUUUACCAGAAGUAGCUUUAUGACACAGAAUAAUGACCCCUCUCUAGAAAUGGCACUGUCCAAAAUACAACUUUCUGUGAUGAUGCAUAUGUUCUAUACCUGCCCUGUAUGAUAUGGAGGCCACUAACCACAUAAGGAUGUUGAGCACUUGAAAUGUAGCUUAUUGUGUGACUGAGGAGUUGAUUUUUAGAUUUAAUUUUAGUUCAUCUCAAUUUAAAUAGUUACAUGUGGCAAAUGGCUGGUGGACAGCCCAAUCUAGAUUCUUUCCACUAGCAGCAUUCUCAAGGCUGAAACCUUGGUUCAGCACCUAGAAGCUUAAAGCUUAAAAAUAUAGAAAAGGAAAAAAGGCAAAGGACAAUUUUAAACAAAAAAGGAGUUACUUAACAAUCUUACAUAGUUUGCACUCAAAAAAAUAAUUUCAUUCAGUGAACGAAAACUCCCAUGUAUUAAAAAAAUGGAAAAAUCCAGUGCAGAAACUUGUCCACUGAAGGCUAUUUGGUGGGUAAAGGGGAGAAAUAAAAUAUCCCUAAGGCCUUCAAUAUGACUCUCACAAUAUUCUUCUUCCAGAACACAUACACAUUAGUGUAUCAGAGGGGUUAAUAUACUUUGAAGAGUGUUUGCCAGUAUAAACGUUACUAUAUUUUUUUUACUUAUUUGGUUUCUAACAGCUGGGAAUUAAGGGAUUUUUUGUAAUUAUUUUUAGGGAGCAGAGUUUUUGUUUUUUUGUUUGUUUACGAGUUUCUUUAUACAUUGAGAACAGAUUUUUUUUUUUUUUUUGCUUUUU